GACUCUCGGCAACGGAUAUCUCGGCUCUCACAUCGAUGAAGAACGUAGCGAACUGCGAUACUUGGUGUGAAUUACAGAAUCCCAUGAACCUCGAGUCUUUGAAUGCAAGUUGCGCCCGAAGCCAUUAGGCCGAGGGAACAUCUGCCUGGGCAUCA
rnacentral:rRNA from 1 species